UAUUUACAUAAAUAUAAAAGAAAAAUAAGAAAAACGACGUCGUAGGAGGUUCUUAUAUGCGCACUAAUGAUUUCUUCUCCUAGAUGUGGCUAGCUCAAUUUCAAGUAAACCCUAGGUAAUACAAGGGCAAGGCUGGUGUAGUAGUUGCAGGUUGGGGGAAUUAUAUGAGGAUUUUUUACUCUGUUUCCUGAUGCAAAGGCUGUAAUCUAGAGAUGCGAUUAUUCUUCCAUUGUCCUCUAUUGUAACCUCGGUCGCAGCCUCCGCGUCAGGACACAGAGUAAAUAAUCCUGAUACAACGGGCGUCAGGACACAGAGUAAAUAAGAUAAUUGACAUUUUCACUCGUCAUUCAUUAAUGUUUUUUACAACCUUAAGUUCAUGAAAGCUAAAUUGUCGAAUCUCUUCUUUUAAUCAUUUAUAGGUUAUAAUGUGGAGCCUGCUCUGCCUAAUGUAAACUUAAGAUGUGGUGAUUGGAAUUGGAAAAUGCAACUAGAAACAUAGAAUGCAGAAUUGAAACUACAGAAGACUAUUGAUUAUCCUGCAUGCAGGAAUUAAGCAUAAGCACAAAAUUCAUCCUUUACAUAAUACAUAAUUCAUUAAGUAUAAGACCUUAAUACAUUUCAAGAAACCAAGAGAGGGUUAAGCACAGCUCCAAUGAAAAACACAACACUAGACCUUUCUUCUUUGAUCACAAACAUAAAAGGGUGGUCAGCUACAAAUUUUGGAGGAUCCAUCCUGCCGCAGCACAAUCUAAAUUGAGGAGCAGUGCUAGCUGCAGCUUCAGUUCCAUGUUCAUUUACUUCAACACAUGACUCGUGGUAUAUUUUUGACAGCUCAACUGAUUCCGGAAAAUUAACCAUUUCUGUGAAUUCACCCGUCUUUCUGAAAGGUAAUGUCAAUCCAAGUUCUUUCAAAGUAUUUGACGCUUCUAACUUAUAUGCGAAUUUGAAUCUUGGUAUCCAAAAUUCAUAAAGUUCUUCUUCUUGUAAAUCAAAUUGUGUGUUGUAAAAUUCAGGAUUUGAUUUGAAUUCUUGUAUUAAGUGAUGUAUGCCAUCUUUUGCAUUUGGAAGAAAGAAGUACAUGGAGAAAUUUCUAUUA